GGACCAAAAGCAACCCUAGUUAGAGCAUAAUCACAAAUAUAUCACAAUCACUAGGCAAAACUAGAAUAUCCAACCUCAUCCUAAGGACAGACAGAUAUACCUUAUUAUAUCACUAUUUGAGCUCUGGCAGCAUGAGCAUAUUUGAUGCCUUUCAAGAAAUGAGGGUGCCAUUUGGUUUGGGAGCAACAUGAAAACGUAGUUAAUGUCAUCACUUCAGUGUACAUUUUCAUAAUCACAUGUACAGUUCAUAUUGGUUCCACUCGAAGCUUCUGG
rnacentral:lncRNA from 1 species